rnacentral:rRNA from 1 species
UACGUAGGGGGCAAGCGUUGUCCGGAAUCAUUGGGCGUAAAGCGCGUGUAGGCGGCCAGGUAAGUCCGUUCUGAAAGCCCGGGGCUCAACCCCGGGAGGCGGAUGGAUACUGCUUGGCUCGAGUCCGGAAGAGGCGAGUGGAAUUCCCGGUGUAGCGGUGAAAUGCGCAGAUAUCGGGAGGAACACCAAUGGCGAAGGCAGCUCGCUGGGACGGUACUGACGCUGAGACGCGAAAGCGUGGGGAGCAAACAGGG